UGGGGAAUUUUGGACAAUGGGCGAAAGCCUGAUCCAGCAAUGCCGCGUGUGUGAAGAAGGCUUUCGGGUUGUAAAGCACUUUUGUCCGGAAAGAAAUCCUUGGCUCUAAUACAGUCGGGGGAUGACGGUACCGGAAGAAUAAGCACCGGCUAACUACGUGCCAGCAGCCGCGGUAAUACGUAGGGUGCAAGCGUUAAUCGGAAUUACUGGGCGUAAAGCGUGCGCAGGCGGUUUGCUAAGACCGAUGUGAAAUCCCCGGGCUCAACCUGGGAACUGCAUUGGUGACUGGCAGGCUAGAGUAUGGCAGAGGGGGGUAGAAUUCCACGUGUAGCAGUGAAAUGCGUAGAGAUGUGGAGGAAUACCGAUGGCGAAGGCAGCCCCCUGGGCCAAUACUGACGCUCAUGCACGAAAGCGUGGGGGAGCAAACAGGAUUAGAUACCCUGGUAGUCCACGCCCUAAACGAUGUCAACUAGUUGUUGGGGAUUCAUUUCCUUAGUAACGUGGCUAACGCGUGAAGUUGACCGCCUGGGGAGUACGGUCGCAAGAUUAAAACUCAAAUGAAUUGACGGGGUCAUAGCUGUUUCC
rnacentral:rRNA from 1 species